UACGAAGGGGACUAGCGUUGUUCGGAAUUACUGGGCGUAAAGCGCACGUAGGCGGAUUUGUUAGUCAGGGGUGAAGUCCCGGGGCUCAACCUCGGAACUGCCUUUGAUACUGCAAGUCUCGAGUCCGAUAGAGGUGGGUGGAAUUCCUAGUGUAGAGGUGAAAUUCGUAGAUAUUAGGAAGAACACCGGUGCGAAGGCGGCCCACUGGACCGGCAUUGACGCUGAGGUGCGAAAGCGUGGGGAGCAAACAGG
rnacentral:rRNA from 1 species